UCUGUGCCAGCAGCCGCGGUAAUACAGAGGGUGCAAGCGUUAAUCGGAAUUACUGGGCGUAAAGGGAGCGUAGGUGGCUCUAUAAGUCAGAUGUGAAAUCCCCGGGCUUAACCUGGGAACUGCAUCUGAAACUGUAGAGCUAGAGUAUGUGAGAGGGAGGUAGAAUUUCAGGUGUAGCGGUGAAAUGCGUAGAGAUCUGAAGGAAUACCGAUGGCGAAGGCAGCCUCCUGGCAUAAUACUGACACUGAGGCUCGAAAGCGUGGGUAGCAAACAGGAUUAGAUACCCUGGUAGUCCACGCCGUAAACGAUGUCUACUAGUCGUUGGGUCCCUUGAGGACUUAGUGACGCAGCUAACGCAAUAAGUAGACCGCCUGGGGAGUACGGCCGCAAGGUUAAAACUCAAAUGAAUUGACGGGGGCCCGCACAAGCGGUGGAGCAUGUGGUUUAAUUCGAUGCAACGCGAAGAACCUUACCUGGUCUUGACAUAUCUAGAAUCCUGCAGAGAUGCGGGAGUGCCUUCGGGAAUUAGAAUACAGGUGCUGCAUGGCUGUCGUCAGCUCGUGUCGUGAGAUGUUGGGUUAAGUCCCGCAACGAGCGCAACCCUUGUCCUUAGUUACCAGCGGGUUAAGCCGGGAACUCUAAGGAUACUGCCAGUGACAAACUGGAGGAAGGCGGGGACGACGUCAAGUCAUCAUGGCCCUUACGACCAGGGCUACACACGUGCUACAAUGGUAGGUACAGAGGGCAGCUACACAGCGAUGUGAUGCGAAUCUCAAAAAGCCUAUCGUAGUCCAGAUUGG
rnacentral:rRNA from 1 species